rnacentral:rRNA from 1 species
AAUAUUGCACAAUGGAGGUAAUUCUGAUGCAGCGACGCCGCGUGAGCGAUGAAGGACUUCGGGUCGUAAAGCUCUGUCCUAUGGGACGUUAAUGACGGAACAACAGGACGAAGCCCCUCUUAACUACGUUCCUGCAUCCGCGGUAACACGCAGGGGGCGAGCGUUGUCCGGAAUUACUGGGCGUAAAGGGUAAGCAGGCGGCCAUGUAAGUCAGAUGUGAAAGGUCACGGCUCAACCGUGGUAAGCAUUUGAAACGGUGUGGCUUGAGUUAAGGAGAGGAAAGUGGAAUUCCUGGUGUAGCGGUGAAAUGCGUAGAUAUCAGGAGGAAUACCAGUGGCGAAGGCGACUUUCUGGACUUAAACUGACGCUGAGGUACGAAAGCGUGGGGAGCAAACA